rnacentral:SRP_RNA from 1 species
CGGCAAGUCCUAAACAACCAGCUCCCGAAAAUCCUCCAGGGUGGGAACACAGCAAAGGUAAUUGGUUGUAGCGGUGUGAUUUAGGUAGCUUGCCGUUU